rnacentral:lncRNA from 1 species
UGAAGUUUUUUUUUUUUUUUGGGAGAGAGAGAAAGUUCGGCUUGCUAUCUACUUCAUUCAUAGCGAAUAUGAACUGAGCUAAACAAGUGGGACAACUGACCGCGAGAAUCAGAACCGUUCCAAACAAGAGCAGACAAAAAAAAAACGAUGAAUACCGACAAUAGAAAUAUACUAGAAUAUACCAACUACAAGCUAAGAUAAUUUAUGACUGUCCAUCAAAAAAUCCUCCCAUUGCUUCACUAGCUAUUUGGAUCAUUGUUGAUCCCCUUAAAAAUAAAAUUGUUUAUUUCUUUCCAAAUAACCCACCAGCAAGCUACAAGUAAAACGUAUUCUCGUUGCCUUUUUUCUGUUACAAUCUUCCCAAGUCACCCUGUUUCAAACUCUACGGACAUCUUCAACAAGAAUACAAUCCAUCACAAUUCGCCACCCUUAACUUUU